GGUCGCUGCAGGGCGACUUCCACCGCUUCUCGAUCUCGAAGGAGUUGGUGAUGGCAGCCGGCGGGAGCUCGGGAAAUUCCUCCGACUGGUUGGUUUCAAGGGUAGGAUUCGAGACCGAGACGGGGUCACGGUUUCCGAUGGAAGGGAUGGGGGUAAGGCGGGAGGCGCGGAAGGAGGUAGCGGGAAGCUUUUGGCGGGAAGAGAUGGAAGGCGGAGGAGGCCAUUUGGAGGAAAGAAGAGUGAGAGAAGCGCCUUGCAAUUGGAAAUGGAGAUAAGGAGAGGGUUAUCGUAGUAUAGAUAUACUUCUUUGUGUAGACUGAGGUGAUGCCAUUGGAGCGGCCAUACCAUCCUCAACAAAUUAAGCAUAAAAGCUAAGGAGGUGAAGGAGCUGAUUUUGGAUGAUUCACUUUGGCUUUGAAAAAUACACAAAAGUAUUUGGGUGUCUUACGUUGAAUGUGGUGAAAGCUAUUGUGCUUUAUGCUAGUUUAGAAUGGAA